GCUGAUAUAGUUUAAAUGUUAAAACAGUUGAUUUGUAAUCAGCUAAAUAAGAGUUACAGUCUCUUUUUCAGCU
rfam:Theileria parva strain Muguga apicoplast, complete genome, whole genome shotgun sequence.